rnacentral:rRNA from 1 species
UACGGAGGAUCCAAGCGUUAUCCGGAUUUAUUGGGCUUAAAGGGUGCGUAGGCGGCUUAUUAAGUCAGUGGUGAAAGCCUGCAGCUUAACUGCAGAACUGCCAUUGAUACUGAUGAGCUUGAGUAUACUUGAGGUGGGCGGAAUGUGUCAUGUAGCGGUGAAAUGCUUAGAUAUGACACAGAACACCGAUUGCGAAGGCAGCUCGCUAAAGUACAACUGACGCUGAGGCACGAAAGCGUGGGGAGCAAACAGG